UGANGNNNAUUGGUCAAUGGGCGAGAGCCUGAACCAGCCAAGUAGCGUGCAGGAUGACGGCCCUAUGGGUUGUAAACUGCUUUUGUAUGGGGAUAAAGUCAGUCACGUGUGAUUGUUUGCAGGUACCAUACGAAUAAGGACCGGCUAAUUCCGUGCCAGCAGCCGCGGUAAUACGGAAGGUCCGGGCGUUAUCCGGAUUUAUUGGGUUUAAAGGGAGCGUAGGCUGGAGAUUAAGUGUGUUGUGAAAUGUAGACGCUCAACGUCUGACUUGCAGCGCAUACUGGUUUCCUUGAGUACGCACAACGUUGGCGGAAUUCGUCGUGUAGCGGUGAAAUGCUUAGAUAUGACGAAGAACUCCGAUUGCGAAGGCAGCUGACGGGAGCGCAACUGACGCUGAAGCUCGAAGGUGCGGGUAUCGAACAGGAUUAGAUACCCUGGUAGUCCGCACAGUAAACGAUGGAUGCCCGCUGUUGGUACCUGGUAUCAGCGGCUAAGCGAAAGCAUUAAGCAUCCCACCUGGGGAGUACGCCGGCAACGGUG
rnacentral:rRNA from 1 species